GUUCACUAUAGCUGUCUAACUUUUCCCAUAUCAGUAUGUCAUUUAGAAGCUUGCUAAAAAUGUAGCAAGAGGCCAGGAUUAUUUUUAGUUGGAAAAGCUUCAUUUACUUCUCACAAGCUCUGUGGCCUGUUGUGCUUCAAUUUCGUCAUCUUCAAAACCAGGAAGAGCUAUAUUCAUCUUAUCUCACAAAGCUGAUUAACAUAAAUGAAGGAGCCUUGGAAAAUGGAAAGCAUUAUACAAAUAAACAUAGUCUCACUCUUUUUCCCAGGCUGGUCUCAAACUCCAGGGCUCAAGCAGUCCUCUGUCCUCAACCUCCCAAAGUGCUGGGACUACAGGUAUGAGCCACUGUGCCUGACCAGAAUUUUUCUUGAAUGUGAUAUUCUCCUUCAUUCUAUUACACAUAAUUUCUCUAAUCUUCAUAAUUUAAUUAUCAUUGAAUUUCAGUCUAUCUGAUUCAUGUAAAGACAACCUGUCAUUCCAAACAUGAUUUGUCCUCUUUACAAAACUAAUCUGAUAUGAACUGUAUUUGAUUCACUAGAGAACAGAGUAUAGUGAUGCCUCAAGUUAUUGAUACCUGCAUUGAUCAGGGUAACUAAGGCUUACUACUGGAACAAGCAGUGCUGUAAAUCUCAUGGGCUUAACAUGAAGUCUGAUAUGGAUUUGGGUGGGGGCUUUACUAGGGGGCUUACCUCUAAGCAGUGACAAAACUAUGUAGGCUUUAUUCAAUUGUGUGGCUCUGUCAUCUUUAAGUCCAUCACUUCCUGCCUCAGCUACAGAAGAGAGAAAGAAUGAACUACCAAAUGAGACUUUUUAGGACUAUAUCACAUGUGGCUUCAACUUAAGAGCAACGGUAGCUGGGAAAUAUCAUCUUCCUGUGUACCUCCCAAAAAAUAAAAUGGGUUUGUGAAUACAUAGCAUUUUCUUUAUUACACUAUAGAAUAUCCAAAUAGAGAUCGGAUAUUUUAUAGUGUAAUAAAGAAAUUGGGAAAUUAGGAGUUAGGGCUGAAUGAUAAAUAUAGCCUUUGAAGACAGUGACAAUGAUAUACAGUUGAUUAGUUGGAUAUUGGAUAAUAAAACCCAUCACCUAAAGAAAGAGCAUAGCAAAUGAUUAAAAACAGGAUUUAAAGAAUGGUUUUUACAAUGAGGGACAAUGGUAGAAGCUUAUUGUGGUGUGGACUUGUAAUUACCUCUUAAUUUCCAUUUUUUUCUUCCUUUGUAACAAAACUCUAGUUUUUUGCCUAACUAAAAGACUGUUGUGUACCCUUCUUUAUAGUAGGGUAUAACCACAUGACUAAUGUCACAUAUAAAAAUGGAGAACGGGUGCACAUUAAAGAGUAGGUAAGUGGUUAAUAUACUUUUUCUCUCUCAAUCCUCCCAACCUGCCCUCUUUACCUUUAUCUCUCCAAAAUAACAUGUUUGUUGUUUAAUAGAGAUGACAUCGUCCUAAUCUAAGGCUUAAGAUUCCUGUAACUCUUAAGUCACACUUUGCCAAAUUUUUAUUCAAUCACUGAAGGCUCACAUUGCCUCUGAAAGAAAAAAAAAAAGCAAGUGAAAUAUUUCUGACUGUGAGUGUUCUUAUAUUGGCAUCUUAGUGUGAACUUAGGGGAUAUGUUAGCGUUGACUGUUUUCUGUAUCACCUCAGGUGUAUUUUGUCUUUCCCCUCUUGACUUCACUUACCCACUCACUCUGACUAAUGUCCUAGCAGUGGCAAGCAUGUAGAUGUCUAAAAAUGUAGAAAUUGUAAGAAAGAGGCUGUUUCAGGGCAGCAUUUGGAAGUGGCUAUUGUGUAGGGCUAACCAUAUCUCUCUCCUGCCAGAGGUCAUGGCCUUGUUGAUGGUCUCUAGUCAAGAGCAAUCCCAUUAGUGAAAAAAAAAAAAAAAAAGAAAACCAGCACUGACAGUGACUGCUUCCAAAUAUUCUCCUGUCUGCUACUAUAGAAUUUCCUAGUGUUUCCCAUCUUGUCAAUUCCUUUCCCUCACCUUUUUUACACUGAGUGAACAACUUUUAUUUGAAGUGUUAGGUACUAACCCAGUUCUCUCACCCUUUACUCUGCUUCCUUCCUUUCUUAAAUGCUUCCUGCUUUGUAACCCUCUGCAGCUAGUGAUACAUUAGUUUAUGUUUGUGUUUUCUCAAGAAGUGAAACUGUUGUAGGUUGACCUAUUAUAUAGAAGUACAUACUCCUCAGUAGAAGGCAACUUAUGAUUGUAGAAACUGGGUGUUUCGUGAGAAGUUGCUACUUAACUGACCAAUUAGGAAAAGGGGUACAGAAAUGAUUGAGACCUCCAAGGAGAUACAGAUUCAUUUAAGUUGAGUGUACUGCUGCAGACAUCAUUUUGAAUAUCUGUAUUACGAGUAAAUGGUGGAAAUUUGAAGACAAGUCCAUACUUUAUGAAAGUAAGAGAACAAGAAAUUUGUUUCCCUAAAUCUGUGAGCAUACCCUAUAAUUCAUCAGAAACAGCAAAUUCACAAACACAAAAUUGACAGAAAUAUGUAAAACUUUUCCAGCAGUUUACUUCUGAAUACAUUAGAAAAUGUGACAGAACAUAGUAAAUUUCUUGUCAUUUUACUUCCCAAGGGAAGUGCUAGGUUUGUAAAUCCUAGAAUAUCAUCAAAUUAUAUUUUGAAAUUUAUUUCUUUUUGAGCUAGAAUUUUAAAAGAUUACAUGUUUUUUCACAGAAUACGUUCAUCCAGUUACUAAUAAUGAUGCUGAAGGAAUGGAAAUGUAAUUUCUAGAAAUCAUCACUUUUCAAAGUUUUAUAGUUUGUGAACUGGAAUACUGAAGAUGGAAGUAUGAUUUAAUAUUUGGUAGAAACAGGAGAGUUUGUUAUUUGUAGCUCUGAUAUUAGAAAUUACUUGAGGUUUCUGUUACCAAACUUCACAAAAUAUAUUUCAUAAAAAGCAUUCUUAACUCAGGUUAUACAUUUUUUAAAAAUUAUUCUGAAAGGAAUUAGAUAUUUAACAUUGUAGCUGACCUAAAUAAAUUGGAGAAAAUUCUUAAACAAUUAUCUUUCAUUUUCCCAUCAAUAAAUGGAGCAAUAAUAAUACCUAAUUAUUUAUUGCACAGGAGUCUUGCAAUAAUUAAUUAAAGCUUUAAAGUACUUUGAAGAUGAAAACAAUUUUAUAGGCCUCAUUAUUAAAGGUAAUUUGUUAUGGUAACCAGUCAAAGUCAUUCAUUUGGUCUUUUAAACUUGUUUUUAAAUGCUCUAUUCGGAUCCAGGUGUUAAUUAAAAAAUUUUAAAACAACACUUAGGAAACAUAUGAAAUUCUGCUUUCUAUCUUGAUGCUUAACUUGUGAAAUAAUAGGUAAGUUUUUUUUCCGAAUUUUGUUUUUUUCAUGUUUAUACGCCUCUCUCAAAUCCCAUUGAGUGAGCGAGUAUUGCUCCCAGCUCAUUAUUACAAAAAGAGGUUUGCCAUGUUAAAGCCACUAAGAUUUUUCUUUUUCUGAAGCUCUUUACUUAAUGCAAAGACAAAGUGUCAUCUAUGAUAACAAUUCUGCAUAUGGAAAACACAAGGUUAUUCAUCCAUUUAAACAUUUAUUGAGCAAAUGCUAUAGUUUAAAAAAGAUAAGCCACUCGGUAAAUUGGAAAAUAUAGUAAUAUGUCACUUGCAUGAAAUUUUUAUCCAAUGAAAUAAUCAAGUAAUUAAAUUUAAGGUGAAAGUGAUUGAUGUAAUAUAGGUUAAAAGCCAGUAUGGCAAAGGCUGAAACAUUACAAAGAGAGGCAUCAAAUGUGGUUUUGGGAAGCACUCAAUUUUUGUGUAGAUAAUAUCCUAGAUGUACCUGUAUUUCAUAGGAAAGAAGGCAGUAGUGGUAUUCUAGAACAGUGGUUCUCAACAAGGGCAAUAGUCCCCUGUCCCCCAUUCCUGGGACAUUUAUCAAUUUCUGGAAAUAUUUUUGGUUGUCACAACUAGGGAAGUGCUACUUGCAUCUAGUGGGAAGCUACUAAACAUCCUACAAAACACAGGACGGCCCACCACAACAGAGAAUUAUCCAGCCCUAAAUAUCAACAAAACUGAGCUUGAGGAAGUCUGCUCUUGUUGGAAAACACAGAACUAUCAAGGCACCAGAUGGAGAAAGUAUAAGAUGUAUAUCAGGAAUAGCUUGGCAGGAGUAGACGUUGAAGGUAACAUUGAAAAUGCUUUAGGAUAGCCUUGAUUAUUAGAUUAGACUACAAAGCUGACUCAUUGAAUCACUCACGCACUGUGAGUCAUUCAAUAAACAUUUAUAUCUCAGGCAAUACGGACAGAGAGAUAGAAGAUAUAGAUGCUGCUGUAAAGUUUACAAUUUAGUUGGAGACAGUCAGAUAAACCACCCACUGUGUGAACAAAGUGAUAUCUGUCAAACACCAAUUCUACUGUGUCUUUAAAAAAAGUUCAAUUAAAAAUAAAUUUUGGAAAGAGUAUGCACUACAUACUUCUCCACAACUUGGGACUAUAUACAAUCUUGUUUUGUGUAUCAGUUUGCCUUUAUUUCAGCCAGCAUUUCUUUUGGCAGUGUACUUUUAAUUCCCUUUUAUAUAACAACUAUUAGCAACCCAUGACGUAUUGGAUAGCUUCCCUUCCAGACUCACUCUGGACCCUUCUCUGUGCUAUUCCAGGCUCAAGAUACUGAUCUUCGGGAACUUCAUGCUGAGUGUCCCUGUGUUCGGUUCUUGAUUGUGUUUGGCCCAAGAGGGACAUUUAUAGGAGAUGAGAGGGUGAGAGGAGACAGGGGUUGGGGCAUUUGGUCCCUCAACUCCCUCCUCCAAAUAGCCAGGUCACCACAGACUUGCUGCAUCCCUCCACUGAAGGCCACACUCCUUUCAGAUGCCCUUUCUUAUAGAGCUACCCUGUCUGGGUCCUUAUAACUGUUUCCUCUCCUUAUCCCUUCUAUCUAAAGCUGGCAAUGUUCCUCAUCUGUUGUGAGCUGUAUGCUGCUUCACUAUCCCUCUUUAGGAAACUGCCUACACAUUUGUAAAAAUCCUUUAUUAAGCACUCCUCAAAGUGCCAGUCUAGGAUUCUCAUUGUUAUAUAUGGGGAACAUGACUUGGGAACUGCUUGUAUGGUAGUUGCUUUUAAAAAGAGUUCUGCAUAGGAAGGAGUCCGAAAAGUUUAAAUUUCAUAUUAUGACUUAUGCACAUCUAUUGAAGAAUGUAUCUGUUAGCUUAUUUAUUCCUGCAUGUAUGUAUGUAUCUGUAUGUAUGUAUUUAUUUAUUUUGAGAUGGAGUCUAGCUGUCGCCCAGGCUGGAGUGCAGUGGUGUGAUCUCAGCUCAGUGCAACCUCCACCUCCCGGCUUCAAGCAAUUCUCCUGCCUCAGCCUCCCGAGUAGCUGGGAUUAUAGGAACCUGCCACCACACCCAGCUAAUUUGUGUGUGGUGUGUGUAUUUAGUAGAGACAGGGUUUCGUCAUGUUGUCCAGG
rnacentral:lncRNA from 1 species